UUUUGAGUGUGGUAGAAUCAGAAGCAUUGCAGUGGUGGUGAGCACAUCUUACACAACUGAUCCAGCUUCUUAACACAGGUUCCUUAUAAAUAUAAAGAUGAAACCACUUCUGUAAGAAUAAUGUGAUGAUUGCAAGCCUACAGUGAAGACUGAGAAAUUUCUAAACAAGUUUUCUUUUGAUUCAUAAACAAUUUUCUACUAAGUAAACAAAUAAUAUUUUGCGCACUCAGUUGUUUGAUGUACAAAUGACUUGGAAAAAUUAUACUUCUUUCCCUGGAAACAUACCUUUUUGAAGAAAGUAAGUGAAAGAGGCAAUGUCCCCUUCUUAUUAAAACUUUGGAAAAUAGCUGGAAAAAUCA